AGAAUAAGCGACAUAUGCUGCGUUCUCGAUUCUGAUAAGCGGCAGUCGCCUUCAGUUUUGGAGGUAUGCUUUGGGGCUUAUUUUGCAUUUUCUUGGCGAUUUUUAUUUUUUAGCCUUUUUGCGAUAUUACACAGAACAAUGUCAGUGUUUCGUGGAUUCGGAAAACUGUUUUCGACCCAGUCCAUGUUCAAUAGAAACAAAAGCAAUGCACAAUGAUGAAGAAACUCAAGGCUCCACAAUCCCCUACACUUAGGAAAAAAACAUAUAUUUAAAUGUUUAGAAGGUGCGAAAUAUCUUUCAGAUUUAAUGAAGAUUUCAGAAAUAUUUUUGCAAUGGGAGCAUCUUUUUUAAUAUCUUCAGAAUCACUGAAUUUUUCUGAGAUGAAAGGCCUGAUGAUGCUCUUAAUAUGAGCGAAACACGUGUAACCUACUGUUAAUAAAUACUUUUGAGACCGAGACUUUGUGUAGUUCCGUUUAGAAUAUGAACAGUAAUGUUGCUGGUCCUCUCAGCACGUUCAUUUAUCUCAAGAAUAAAAAGCCCCAGAAGCAAAUGCCAUAUCGUAGAUGAGACUCGACUAGGGCAUAAUUAACAUCCUGGCACCCAAUUCACAAGCUACCACCCUCACAGCAUAGCAACCAUGAGCCACCCUCUUUCCUAUCUUAGUGAUGUGCGUCGAGAACUUUAAUUUUGAAUCAAUCCAGAUACCCAAGAAAUUGUGAACUUCCUGAACCUCGAGAGGUUCAGAAUUUAAACUGGAGACCGGCAACUGACACUUAAAGAAUUUGAUGAAUGGCUUCAAAAAGGAAAACUGGAAUAGAGUAAAGUACUCUAAAGGAAUGGAAGCUAAAAGGAAUCGGAACAACUCACAAGUAUUUUAUUUAGUUGUAGUAGAACAGCAGAUGACCGAUCAGCCCAAAAACCUAUAGGCAUCUAUAUGCCUUCUUUUGAGAAGAAAAGAGUAUUAACACCAAUUGAAGCAAACAUUGUAUGACUAACUUUGAAAAAAAACGAAAACCAGGGUUCUCAGAAAGGCCUUUGAGAAAGAAAAAACAUUUAAUAUUCUGAGGCCUGGAAAAGGGAAGGGCGAGUACCGAGGACUAUUCCUGGACGACCGUUAGGGAUGAGAGACCCAGAUUCGGUAGAUGCAGUGGUCAAAGAAGUUGAAGCAAAUCCAAAUGUAAGCCUUAGAGCAAUUGAGCACCGUAUCGGAAUACCGAAAUCGAAGGCCCAUAGAACACUCCAUGAGAUGGGUUAUCAUCCAUAUCAUAUUCAAAGGGUCCAUCAACUAAAACCCGAAGAUUAUCCGAGAAAAGUAAGAUUCUGUGAAGAAAUGUUGCAACGUCAAGCGGCAAAUAAAAAUUUUUUUAAUUCAAUUUUAUGGACCGACGAAUCGAAUUUCAAGAGACAAGGAGAGACAUUUUUUUUCAGAACGAUGGGGCUCCUUGCCAUUAUGCGAUAAAUGUUCGAGAAUAUCUGAAUAGGCGAUUUAGACACAAGUGGAUCGGUCGAGGUGGACCAAUUCAGUGGCCCCCCAGGUCACCGGACUUAAACCCAAUUGAUUUUUUUGUUUGGGGUUACUACAAGGAGGUCGUGUACGCUCAAGAGUCAAGAAACUUAGAAGAACUAAGAAUAAAAAUUAAUGAAGCAAAACAAGCCGUAAAAAAUAACAGAUUAACAUUUAGACAGUUAAAAGAUAAUUUUUUUCGCCGAUGCCGUAUUUGUAUUGAACAACAAGGUCGUCAUUUUGAAAACUUUAUGUAAUAAUUAAAGAUAAAUUGAUUAAAACACUU